AUUGCAACUUACAGAAAACAGUAUUUGUUGUCCAUCUAUAUUUCACUAUACCAAUUAUAUUUUUUAAUUUUGUGUGUUAUUAGAUAAGAAUAUUAGGAAAUGAAAAUGAUCAGACUCGUUUUGUUAAAGAUGAUCAUAUUUGGUAUCUUGCUGAAUCUCGUCACAUUAACAUCAGCUGCAAGACGGAAACAAAACGACUUAAUAACAUCAGAUGAAAAAACAGACCUCAAAAUUCCACAAGGAGUAUUUGAACAUAUCAAAAACAAGCGAGACACGAGCAGAAGGAACUGGUCUCGCAACACAGCGAGCAACGCUUAUAAUCCACCACCAUAUUUAGUUUUUAACAGCAAAACAGGAUCGUACUAUCCUUAUUACAAAUUCCCAAUCGAAAACAAUUACAUUCGUAGAAAUAUGUAUAAAUACAGUUGAAAUGUAUCUGUGAUUUUAAGUAGAAUAAAAAUAAUAAAUGAUGAAAAGGAUGUUUCUGUUUAUAAUGUUUAAGUUAAUUACAAUGUCAAUAGAUACCUAUUUGUUUUAUACAAGCAAUGAAUAAAGAAAGUUAGAGUUGAUUUUUUAUUACUGUGUAUUAUUACAUUUAAUGGAUAUUUAAAUAAUUGGACAGUAAUUUGUAUUCAAAGGUACAAGACGGUGAACGAUGUUAUUUCCGUGUGACAACGAAAACCAUAAAUAAUUUAAAACGUCAGAAAUAUGUAAUGAAAACAAAAUAAUAAACGCGAGCUUAAUCCGUCAAA